rnacentral:rRNA from 1 species
CAUCACUACGCUAGAUGCAUAUCAAUAAGCGGAGGAAAAGAAACUAACAAGGAUUCCCUUAGUAACGGCGAGUGAAGCGGGAAGAGCUCAAAUUUGAAAUCUUCAGGUUUUACCUUGACGAAUUGUAGUUUAAAGAAGUGAUUUCUGUUGAGUGUUUUGGUAAAAGUUCUUUGGAAUAGGACAUCAUAGAGGGUGAGAAUCCCGUAUUUGACCAUUAUCUUCCAGCUGUGUGAUACACUUUCAAAGAGUCGGAUUGUUUGGGAAUGCAGUCCAAAAUGGGUGGUAAAUUUCAUCUAAAGCUAAAUAUUGGCGAGAGACCGAUAGCGAACAAGUACCGUGAGGGAAAGAUGAGAAGAACUUUGAAAAGAGAGUUAAACAGUACGUGAAAUUGUCAAAAGGGAAGCGUUUGACACCAGUGUUGUUUUCUCGAAAAUCAAUUAAAAAAUGUUGGAUUUUGUGUUGUAUUGACCUUAAUCAGCUUUCUUCACUUUUUCCUAGCUUUUUUUAAUGCACUUUUCGUUUAACAAGUCAACAUCAGUUUCUUUUGCUGUAAAAGAGUCAUUGGAAGGUGGCUUUCUUUUCGGAGAAAGUGUUUAUAGCCUUUGACUUCCUGCAAUCGGAGAGAUUGAGGUCUGCAGCGUAGAUCCUUCGGGGUUAGAUACAUUUGUGCUAAGCUAUAGCCUUUUCAUAGACAACUUGUUGACUAUGAUCAGUCAUGUAGCUUACUCGCUUAUGCUAUUUUACCUACGCUUAGGAUGUUGACGAGACUGUCGAUCUC